GGUAGUGCCUGAUCCAGACCCCUCUCCCACCUCUGGUAGUGGGGCCGGUGACCCGGGGAGCUCCCGGGCUUGUGGACACAGCGCUCCGACUUCUGACUCUGUUGACACAUGGUCUUCUCCCAGGGGCAUGUCUUAGCUGAAAUUUCCUGCUCUUACAAGGACAUCCUCAUGUUGGCUUAGGGUCCACCCCACUUCACUGAUCACAUAUGCAAAGACCCCAGUUCCAAACAAGGUCACAUUCCAGGGACCCAGAGUUUGGGCUUGAAAAUACCAUUGUGGGAAGAUAGUUCAAGGCCCCAUGUUUCUGCAGAUCCGUUUUUCUCUAGUGGCUUCCUGAAGAUAACACCUAAGCCCAUGGAAACGUCAGAAUGCCCAGAAGUAACCGUCUCUGCAGCAGACCAAAACGAAGACCAGAUUUCAUGGCAGACGAGACUUCCCCAUCUCACCUCAGAGCCCGGUGACGGUCCGUGGCUGCUCUCAGUGGAGUGGAGAUGCUGCUGUAGCGGGUGUCCUAACCGGUGGGGGAGGUGGGAAGGAUGAAGAUCCAGGAGACUGGAGUUUGCUCAGUUAAUAGAUGCACCAAGAACCUA